AGAGAGAGCUAGAGAGCAAGAGGGUGGAAGGAGGAGAAAAUAUAUCUAGAAGAUGCUGGAGCUCGAGCACACGGUAGCAGAAAAAGCUGUUUUGAAGGAUCCUAAACCUUAACCUUCCUGGCCGAUGCUGAAAGGAGAGCUUGUUUAUGAAACAUGUUCUUGCAAAACUGUUUGGCGGACUAUGACAAAGAUGAAUGACCGGAUACUAUAAUUUAAAUUUGAAAAUAAGGAAGAGAGCCCUCCAGUUGUAGGCACAUGGCCACAGGGAAUGAAGCCUACAUGUGCCAGCUGACCUUGCAGCAAGGAAUGAACAUAUGACUAAGUUCUGGCCUAACAGAACACAAUCAGAAGGCUGGAGAAAACUGAGUCCUAUCUGCAGAAGGGAAGGAGCCAGUAGAGAGCAAAGACUGAGGAGAGAUGAGAGACAGGAAUGACUGAUGAACCAAGGUUCUGGAGGGAUGACCAAGUGCUCAGGAGGAAGAACUCUCCCUGGGAAAUAAGACGGACGCCCCUUCCUCUGAGAUGUUUGGUCAUAUCCAUGAGGAAGACAGUGACAGCAGCAGAAGCAAGGCAGUUCCUGUCCCUUUAGUUGGAAUAGCUUCUCCAGGUUCCAGUCAUGAGCCUUCAUGUGAAAGGCGAGGCCUUGCCACACGGAUAAGGCACUUCACGUUACAGACCCGGCCCAGUCUAGCCUGGGGAAAACAGGAAAGACUGCCGCGUGUUUGGUUCUGUAGUUUAAGGAAGAAACGAUAAGCAGAAAUGAAAAUUCAACACCCAGAAGCCUUCCUCUUUGUCACCUCAUUAGGUGAGGUGACGACUCCCAGAGACACAGAGAACACGCCAGGAAUCCAAGACAGCUGCGUUCCUCAGCGGGGAGGAGCAGUCAACAGCCAUGGGAUCCUUGAACAGUGAGAAGCUGCUAUCCUUGCCAGAUGAUUAAUGAGGCAUCCUGUGGCAAACGAGGAAGAUGCAAGCGUCAACAGUUUAAUUCUUUAAGUCAAGAGCUUUUAAAUAAGA